rnacentral:rRNA from 1 species
GUAAUAUAUAGUUAACGUGCCUCUUAGCCUGGGAUAGCCACUGGAAACGGUGAUUAAUACUGGAUACUCCUUCUAACUUAAUGUUAGUCGGGAAAGGUUUUUCGCUAAGAGAUCGGACUAUAUUGUAUCAGCUAGUUGGGGAGGUAAUGGCUCACCAAGGCAAUGACACAUAGCGGGUUUGAGAGGAUGAUCCGCCACACUGGUACUGAGACACGGACCAGACUCCUACGGGAGGCAGCAGUGAGGAAUAUUGCACAAUGGGGGAAACCCUGAUGCAGCAACGCCGCGUGGAGGAUGACGCAUUUCGGUGUGUAAACUCCUUUUAUAAGAGAAGAAAAUGACGGUAUCUUAUGAAUAAGUCCCGGCUAACUCCGUGCCAGCAGCCGCGGUAAUACGGAGGGGACAAGCGUUAUUCGGAAUCACUGGGCGUAAAGGACGCGUAGGCGGGUUAUUAAGUCGGGUGUGAAAUCCAAUGGCUCAACCAUUGAACUGCAUUCGAAACUGGUGACCUAGAGUAUGGAAGGGGCAGGUGGAAUUAGUGGUGUAGGGGUAAAAUCCGUAGAUAUCACUAGGAAUACCGAAAGCGAAGGCGACCUGCUGGGACAUUACUGACGCUGAGGCGUGAAAGCGUGGGGAGCAAACAGGAUUAGAUACCCUGGUAGUCCACGCCCUAAACGAUGAAUGCUAGUCGUCGGGGAGCUUGUCUCUUCGGUGAUGCACUUAACAGAUUAAGCAUUCCGCCUGGGGAGUACGGUCGCAAGAUUAAAACUCAAAGGAAUAGACGGGGACCCGCACAAGUGGUGGAGCAUGUGGUUUAAUUCGAAGAUACGCGAAGAACCUUACCUAGCCUUGACAUUGAUUGAGUCUUUCAGAGAUGAGAGAGUGCCUUUCGGGGAACAUGAAAACAGGUGCUGCACGGCUGUCGUCAGCUCGUGUCGUGAGAUGUUGGGUUAAGUCCCGCAACGAGCGC